GAAAAGAUGGAGAGAGAAAACGAAAGAAGGUUACAAAUCUGACAGUUUUCGCGUCACAUUCAGUGUCCGCUGUGCUAAAAUUCAACCAUGUCCAGAUGAGAAAGCUGUAAAGGAAAGAUUACAGGAUGAGGUACAGACGACCACCCAUGGGGAUUAGGGGCAAAGGCUUGUCGGAAGUGCCAAAACACGAAAAAGAAUAGCUUGACUUAGACCAAGGAACUGCCGUGUGUGGAAAAAUAUAUGGAAUUCUGUCGAGUAACGUCCACGCACACGCAAACGCGCACACAGACGUACGUGGCAUGGCUACCGAAGCGGCCAUUGUCCAGUCCACCGGUGUGCGCCACCGCUCCGCGAGAAGGAACCCCGCUGACAGUCAACUCCAUUAAGGCCCAUUAUGGCCUUUCUUCAUAAGAUACACAAUAUUCGACUCGGCGAACGAAACUCUUCCGUCGCGCGUCAUUCGCGCGACGACGAGUCGUUAAUCCGAGACAGGUCGCCGCUGAUUAACGAGUGCGAGGGAAUAACGGACCGGCGUUAUUAUGAAUCGCGUGGGAUCGAUAGUGCGCGAUGAAUUAUUUGAUAUGUGGGCGACCUUCGGCCGUAAAACUUGAAAAACUUCGGCUCGUUUUAAUGCGACGAUGGAUUCUGACGAAACUCCGAAAUGCCUAACGGGAUUACGCAAUAAUUCAAGUAGAACACAGAAUACAUCGUAAUAAUAUUAUAAAGAUAUCAUGAUUUUAUUUGUCAUUUAAAAGUCUAUUUUUAAGUAUUAAAUGAUGUCGUGGUGACGUCCUACGACAUCGUCAUGCCUUUAUUGUAACUCUGUGUUCUACCUGGAAAGAGCAACGAAAGAGCGACAAGAGCAAAAUUAG